AUUGAACGCUGGCGGCAGGCCUAACACAUGCAAGUCGAACGAGUGGCGGACGGGUGAGUAAUGUCUGGGAAACUGCCUGAUGGAGGGGGAUAACUACUGGAAACGGUAGCUAAUACCGCAUACCAUCGGAUGUGCCCAGAGGGGAUUAGCUCGUAGGUGGGGUAACGGCUCACCUAGGCGACGAUCCCUAGCUGGUCUGAGAGGAUGACCAGCCACAUGGGAACUGGGACACGGGCCAGACUCCUACGUGAGGCAGCAGUGGGGAAUAUUGCACAAGUGGAGCAAGCCGGAUGCAGACAUGCCGCGUGUAUGAAGAAGGCCUUCGGGUUGUAAAGUACUUUCAGCGGGGAGGCGUUACCCGCAGAAGAAGCACCGGCUAACUCCGUGCCAGCAGCCGCGGUAAUAC
rnacentral:rRNA from 1 species